rnacentral:lncRNA from 1 species
CCAGGUCCAACUGAUCCCUCGCUCCUCCCCAUCAGGAUUCAGAACUGCCCUGGCUGUGUGGAAUGAGUGAGUGAAUGAAUGAAUAGGUGGUCAGCACUGACCCUGGGUCACUCUGUCCUGUGACAGAGUCUAAGUAUCUGGUUCUGCUCAUUGGAAGAAUGCACCAGGCCAGCAGGCAGAGGAGGCACCCACCUGGUGUUGAGGGACCAGUGUAGAACCUCCAUGCGGGACACAUCACUGCUAGGAUUCUGAAGACAGGGAACCAGAGCCCAGAGAUAAAGGCUCAAACCGAUUAUAACGGUAAUCAUGUAUGAAGAGAAGGAUAUUUUCCCUGUUAGCUUUAAAUUUCAUUUUAAUAUUUAGUAUUUAUUAACAUUUGAAAUCCAGUCUCCUAGAGUACGGACUUCAGUUAACUUAGCUGAUUCUAAUUACUUGUUUUCGCAUUUGUUUGUCAUUUAGCUUUUCAGUAUUUUUAUUCUUUAUCUUUUUAACUGGCUAAAUAAUAGAAUUUUUCUUUUAUUAUUAUUUCUCAGCCCCCUUUUUCCAGGAACAAUCAAUACUGAUCUUCACUUAUGGACGUAGUGUGUGCAUUUAUGUGCCAACAUUGCAUAGGCGGUGAUUAAUCCAAAAAACUCUCACAAAACCAGA